GGUGUGGUGGUCCGCGGCACCAUACCCUCCAAGUUAUUUCUGUAGUGCCGUUUAGUUUAAUGUAAUGACUCGUGGGUUCAAUCAGUGUUGUGAUUAGUGCCCUAUUGGAUAUACUGGAUACAACCAUGAAUUGCAAGCAUUGAGAAAAGAUUUUUUGUUCUUUUCUUCGUUGAUUGUCAAAACCUGCUGACACCUGUACCAUGAUGACGCAACCAACUAUUGGAAUAACGAUAAGGCAACAGUUAGGUCCAGAACGAGACUAGUUAACCUGGCAAUUGGCAACGCAAAGUAAGUUUUUGAACAUAUUGAAUUUAAUUCCAAAUCUUCUUGCAUUAUGAUCUUUUGAUUUAAAUAUAAAUAUAUUUUUGAAAGAUA